rnacentral:lncRNA from 1 species
GGCGUUACUGGUAAGUCUUGUGUGGAAGAGGCGCAUUUUUGACGUAUUGAAUUUUAAACCUGAUGCCUUUUGUUAUCUAUUAUUCAUGUGUUUCUUUGCCUAAUACGUUCUCCUAUUUAUUUGUAUUGUAGUCCUGUAUUAUUAUGUUCUCAUUUUAAUGUUAUAUUUAACAAUGCCAUCAAAGCGCGAGGUUUGGCAUGCCACAAAACCAGGUUCAACCC